rnacentral:rRNA from 1 species
UACGAAGGUGGCAAGCGUUGUUCGGAUUUACUGGGCGUACAGGGAGCGUAGGCGGUUGGAUAAGCCCUCCGUGAAAUCUCCAGGCUUAACCUGGAAAGUGCAGAGGGGACUGUUCAGCUAGAGGAUGGGAGAGGAGCGCGGAAUUCCCGGUGUAGCGGUGAAAUGCGUAGAGAUCGGGAGGAAGGCCGGUGGCGAAGGCGGCUACCUGGCCCAUUCUUGACGCUGAGGCGCGAAAGCUAGGGGAGCAAACGGG